CUAUGAUGAAUUGUUUUGUCUCCAAAAACCUAAUACCAAUUAACCCAAAAUUAUCUUCCCAAAAUGUCCCAAAGUUUUCGUCCCCAGAAACCUGAUAUCCAUUAACCCGAAAUUUUUGCCCCAAAAUGUCAUAUUCUUCAAAUCUUCUUCUCUCAAUCAAGAUUUUCGCAAUCUUCACUCAAAUUUCCUCCAAAACCGAUGGCUAGAUCCCUCUUUCUCUCUCUAAACAAAUCCAUCUCCACCCCCGCCACAAGCGUCACCUCCUUCUCCUCAGCCCAUCGACUCACCUCGUAUCUCUCCGCGCUCAAUCCAACCAAACCGACCUCUCCGACCUUUCCACUUCUUCCGACUCCACCAUUGACCCUUUGCACUCGAUUUGUUUUAAUUAGCUGUUUGCUUACUCAUUUGCUCAAGUUCUUUAGAAUUUUGAUGUGUUAUAGUUUGUAUUUUUUAAUGUUUCAAAUGGGUUAACUGUUUUGUAUGCUUGUAUUGUUGGUUGCGCUACUUGGAAUUGGUACCCAGAUGGAUUUCAUAUCACCUACUAGGUUAGGGUGGAGGAGAGGAGGAUUAUGAGAAGAAUUGGGAUAAGUUUUGGGAUGGUAGUGGCGACGACGACGGUGGCCAUGUCUUUUAGAGGGUUUCAAGCUGGUGGAGGUCCAGGUGCUUGCUUGCUGCUGGAAGAGAAGAGAUCGAGAGCCAAAUUGAAUUGUUGGUAAAUGAGUGAGGUUGAAUCUUAACAGCUUGUCAGGUUCACUUUCUCCAUCUAUCGGCAAUCUAACUGCAUUAAUAAACCUGGACUUCGGCGUUCGACGUUAAUAGAUUAUCUGGGUAACUUCCAAAAGAGCUUGGGAUGCUUUCUGAAUUAGCAUUCCUGUGGUUGGAAUACAGUUGAAUCCUCAGUUUAUGGGCAUUGAUCUCAAAUGAGUGUGGCAGGAGCCAGAAAAGCUGGUCAAAGUCAAUAUGGGUGGUUCAAGGAAGCAUUAGAUAGAUUAGUAGAGGAACUAACGUCGCAACGACAACAACUUGAUGAGGAAUAACUGGUAAAUCAUUCUUUGAAGCUAAUCAAGAAAAUCUGAAUUGUAAAUAAAAUGUUGUUGAAGACAAAGAGAUUGCAUUUAGGGCAGAUAAACUUGAGCUCGAAGUAGUAGGGAUGGAAGCAAAGAAGAAACUAUGACAGCAUUGAAGAUUUUGGGCUAUAGGAAAGAACAAAGAUGUUUGCAAUUUUGUUUCUUAUUUCACUCUUUUGGGAUUGGAAUCCUGAAACUUACUUAGAAGAUUCUGUGAUAGUGGGUAAGUAGGAAUUGUAAUGUUGACAGCUUUUGUUAAUAAAGAAGUGCAAUUUGAUUU